rnacentral:ncRNA from 17 species
UCUAAAACCUGAAAGCGGGAAAGUCCGGUGCAAUUCCGGCGCUGUGCCGCAACUGUAAAAGUCAGAAUGCCGAUUUCGGGGGCGCUUUGUGGGCGUUUACUUUUGGAUU